CCGAGCAGGCUCUCGAUCAUGUCCAAGGCCGAUGAUCUCUAGAUCUGGUUCAGAUCUCUAGAUCUCGAAGCAGUUUCGGUAUAUGAUUACUUCCGUUCCGUUAUAAUUCUCCGUCACCGUCGUUUGGUCCGUGUGCUACGCCAUUCGUUUACCUGUUGUAUUUUCCGUUUGAGGAAUUUUGGUGCUUUCCUUCGGCUGCAAGAAAACGAACAUUUUAAUGGCCUCAUAUGCGGAUGACUUUGGACCUACUGGAAAAGAAAAGUACUAAUAAUGGCCAUUAAAAUUUUAUAUUAAUAAAACAAAAAAACAAAAGUAAAAAAGUCUACAAAUCGUAAUGUUUUGCAAUUAAAAAUUAUGUAGUAAAAUGUGAAUUAUUAUUCAGAGUAAAUACUAAGAAAUGUAAUAAAAAUUAAGUUCAAUAAAAAGCUUGGUUGUAAAUAGUUAGUAAGAACAUUAUAAAAUGAUCGAUGUGAUUCAUCUCAGAAAAUUAUGCUAAAGACUUUGAUGAUGAUGUAUUAAAAAUGAUUAAAAAGGGCAAUUCAAAAAAAAAAGAAAAAAAAGAACUCGAAUUCGGUGAAAGUGGGCGCUACUACUUUCUCGUGCGAAAGGGGACAGCACGAAGAAAAGGAAGAAGACUACAGCUGUACGCAAUUAAUUGUGCCCGGACCACUGAUUCCUCCAGCCCAUAAUAACCCGUUCAAUUCAAAAAUCAAGCGAGUACCAAACAAUUAAACUAUUUUAAUUAUUAAAAUACGCGAUAAAAUCAGAGGAUACAGCUGGCAGAUCAAAACAAACUUAUUCUGAGCAUAGGAAGCGGAGAACAAUCAAAGGCUUGUUAAAAAAAAA